UACGUAGGGGCGAGCGUUGUCCGGAAUCAUUGGGCGUAAAGAGCGUGUAGGCGGUUUGGUAAGUCUGCCGUGAAAACCUGGGGCUCAACCCCGGGCGUGCGGUGGAUACUGCCAAGCUAGAGGGUGGUAGAGGCGAGUGGAAUUCCCCGGUGUAGCGGUGAAAUGCGCAGAUAUCGGGGAGGAACACCAGUAGCGAAGGCGGCUCGCUGGGCCAUUCCUGACGCUGAGACGCGAAAGCUGGGG
rnacentral:rRNA from 1 species